GCUGGAUUCAGGGAAGAUAUGAUGCAAGAGGAUAUUUGACUGCAACGUAUUUGUAAGUUUUUCUAUUUUGACAACUUUUUCAUAAUCGAAUUUAGUUUCAUAGAAUACUGUAUCAGUUCUGUGAUCCUGAUUUCUCUUCGCAGUUACAAGUUUAAAAAUAACUUGCUCGUGCAACUGCACGGGUUGCCGACUAGUCUUACUAAUAUGUCUUAUAAGAGUGGUCUACUUAGGCAGUGUAGGAGCUGCAAUCAUCUGGAUGUUCUACAAUACAGCUACUCGGAAGUAGAGGGAAGAAGAUGCUUUGUAUCUCAUUUUAAUUUAAAUCCAUGUGAUAGAUCAAGUUUUGCGUGAACUUUUUGACCAUGACUUGUUGGUCUUAGAUGUGUAGAGUCGACAGAUGAUGUAUAUUACUUUUUCUGUGAUACGUGGUGCAGAAAUGAACAUGUAUUUCAUUUGUAAAUAUUAUAUUUUAGCUUGCAUUUCAUCACAUCAUUCCUUAUCUCAGAAA